rnacentral:rRNA from 1 species
ACCGCACCCCCACCUCCCCCAAUACUCGUCAUGAGUGGCGGGAUGAGUGGAAGUGGCCGUCCGGGACCCGGCGUUUGACGCUGUCGGUCGCCGGUCGGCUGAAAUCGAGCGUUCUGGACGUGGCCGGAGAGAGAGGUUGCGAGAAGGUGAUCCGCCCUUUGCAGGGAGGAAUUGGACAGCGCCGCUCGCUUCGGUGGUCCGUGGGACGGUUGGGCUUCUCGGGGCUUAGGCUCCGGGGGGCCUGGGAAAGGGGAGAGGGAGUCUCAUCACUCCCUCUCUUAAAGCU